GGCAACUGUUCAAGUGUAAAGAUUUUUUCCAAGGAUCACAGUUGGUGAAUUGCAGAAGUUGUUUAUAUUUUGGGUUCACAGGCUCCUAAAUUACGAUUAGAAGUCACCUCAGUGCCAUUUUGUCAACCGUGGUUUGCCGGUGUUCAGGUUAGCCACUCGGCUUCCUUCGGUCGUAUAAUCAAGACAAUUCUUCGGCUAUAUUGUCAUGAAAACGUGGAACUGUUCCUGACGCCACCACUAGAGAGUGCUUUAGGUCGACCACACAAAAGUUAGUAAACAUACGAACAAAUAAUCUGCGUCAUAACAACUGUAUAGAACUGGAAGCCACGAUGGAUCUGGCACUUUUACGAAGAACGGCACAGAAGAAAGGGACAACUAGACUAUUGUUAAGAGGUGUUCACCGUUACAGGCCGCUUUUAAGAGGAUGGAGUCACAACUCGCCAGCACAGCAAUUAUUGUAUUAAUCAGGUCUUUUUUCUGUCACUCAUUUGAAUGGAAAUGUUUUUGUGUAAUAAAGAGUUCGAAGUGUUUUGUAUUAUUUAUGAAAUGUUAGCAUAACUGCUAUUUACACUCUUGACGCUGUUGAGAACCCACAUGGG
ensembl:lncRNA